ensembl:lncRNA
AGCCACCCUGCUGCUACAGAAAGCUAAUUAGACCCUCACAUAUUGCUCCCCCUGCUUGGCUAAUGAUGGUGGUGUGAACACUAUGACACAGAAGUGUCACUAACUAUCCCUGUCUCUAUGGCUAGCUGAACACAGGUCCACAGAUGAGAUAAAGUCCUUUAUUUCACCUGUAUCUCCUUCAGCACCAAAUCACAGGUGUGUGUACUGUAGGACUUUGCUUUUAGUGGGGAUUGGUGACAUGUAUAGCAGCAGAUGUUCCUCUGUGUCAGAGUCGUGUAUCCAUACUGUAGUCCAAUGUUAAGAAGAAUAGUUUUGUAGCAUAUAAAGAAUAUUCUUAUUUAUGCAUUGGAGGAAUGUUGUCCUGCACAACUGCUCUAAAGGUCAAGCGUGGCCCCAGAACAACAGAGUGCUGAAUGUGACCUGGUACCUCCUGUGACCCCCAGCUACAUCAGGAAAGAAGCCCAACGGAGCUCAUCAUGGAAUGAACAGGUAGCCUGCAGCCAUAUCAUCUGACAUUUGCCUCUAGUCAAAUGAAACGGUCAUGGCUAGAAGGGCUCCAGCUUUUGUCAAAUGAAACAGUCAUGGCUAGAAGGGCUCCAGCUUUUGUCAAAUUAACAUCAAAAGUAGAUUUUUUUGGGGACAUUUUAGCUAACCCUAACUGUUUUCCUAACCUUAACCUAAUUCUUAUGACCGAUUGCGUUAAUUCUCCUUACCGGCUGAGUACGUUCUCCUAACCUUCUACGAAAAGUCACAUUUGAAUAAAGCUGUUUCCCAUCUAUUCAAAACCAAAUGAAACCGGACGAUGUGCAUUGCAUUCUCCUUCUCCAGUCUCAGCCAAGAGGAUUCAAUAAAAUACACACACUACCACUGCACAAAAAGAGACAAGAACGUGCUCUAUUGUUGACAAUAUGCUAAGGUGAAUACAAAGUUAGCUUUGGAAAAUGUCAUCAAAUACAUUUUACGACACCGUGCAGCAUAAGAAAAAACACAAACAUGAAACAAACUUCCAAGAGACAAAUUAUCAAAGGCAACUAAUCUGUCAUACUUCACCAGGUCACAACAGCUAAAUCAAGAUUAGAAUGGAGGGAAACAACUCAUCAGACCUUUGAUGUUUACUACCUUUCUUAAUGGGCAUGAUUGGCCCAUGAUUACUCCUUUGGUUUCUGUAGAUAUGUAUAUGAAUACAGGCAGUAAGGGCACAAUGAAAUACAGUCUAUAAAUAUUAAUGAAGGCUUAAAUGUCACAUUCCAAACUGCCGUAAUCUGUGACAUUAGCUACAUUUAGAUCACUUUCACACACAAAUCACUUUAAUCUACUCCUCCACAUUGUAGUUUGAAUUUGAAAUUCAAUCAACCACUAUGUUACAAUGCCAAUGGCACUAUCAUGGCCGCAGGAAGAUGUUUUGUGGUGGGGGGGCUUUUAGUAGCAGGCUAGGAGAACUUACUCAGCAGGUUAGGAGAACUUACUCAGCAGGUUAGGAGAACUUACUCAGCAGGUUAGGAGAACUUACUCAGCAGGUUAGGAGAACUUACUCAGCAGGUUAGGAGAACUUACUCAGCAGGUUAGGAGAACUUACUCAGCAGGUUAGGAGAACUUACUCAGCAGGCUAGGAGAACUUACUCAGCAGGUUAGGAGAACUUACUCAGCAGGUUAGGAGAACUAACGUAGCAGGUUAGGAGAACUUACUCAGCAGGUUAGGAGAACUUACUCAGCAGGUUAGGAGAACUAACGUAGCAGGUUAGGAGAACUUACUCAGCAGGUUAGGAGAACUUACUCAGCAGGUUAGGAGAACUUACUCAGCAGGUUAGGAGAAC